AACUCUUAGCGAUGGAUUACUCGGCUCGUGAAUCGAUGAAGAACGCGGCUAACUGCCAUAAAUCGUGCGAAUUGCAGACGCACUGAGCAAAAAGAUUUCGAACGCACCUUGCACAUCGUCUCUCACAACAAUCUAAUUUAUUCUUGCGUGUAU
rfam:Brugia malayi, FR3, WGS project CAPY01000000 data, contig: ctg1512526